rnacentral:rRNA from 1 species
UACGAAGGGUGCAAACGUUGCUCGGAAUCAUUGGGCGUAAAGCGCACGUAGGCGGCUUUGCAAGUCUGACGUGAAAUCCCUCAGCUCAACUGAGGAAGUGCAUCGGAAACUGCAAGGCUUGAGUACUGAAGAGGAUCGCGGAAUUCCCGGUGUAGAGGUGAAAUUCGUAGAUAUCGGGAGGAACACCAGUGGCGAAGGCGGCGAUCUGGGCAGAUACUGACGCUGAACGGCGAAAGCUAGGGGAGCAAACGGG